GUAGGGAAUAUUGGACAAUGGGCGGAAGCCUGAUCCAGCCAUGCCGCGUGGAGGAUGACUGCCCUCUGGGUUGUAAACUCCUUUUGUACAGGAAGAAACCUCCUCAUUUAUGAGUGAGCUGACGGUACCGUAAGAAUAAGCACCGGCUAACUCCGUGCCAGCAGCCGCGGUAAUCCGGAGGGUGCAAGCGUUAUCCGGAUUCACUGGGUUUAAAGGGUGCGUAGGCGGAUAAAUAAGUCAGUGGUGAAAUCAACCGUCUCAACCUGUUAACUGCCAUUGAUACUGUGUAUCUUGAAUAUGAGAGAGGUAGGCGGAAUGUUGCAUGUAGCGGUGAAAUGCUUAGAUAUGCUACGGAACACCGAUUGCGAAGGCAGCUUACUAUUUCGUAAUUGACGCUGAGGCACGAAAGCGUGGGUAGCGAACAGGAUUAGAAACCCGAGUAGUCC
rnacentral:rRNA from 1 species